rnacentral:rRNA from 1 species
GUGCCAGCCGCCGCGGUAAUACGGAGGGUGCAAGCGUUAUCCGGAAUUAUUGGGCGUAAAGAGCUCGUAGGCGGUUUGUCGCGUCUGUCGUGAAAGUCCGGGGCUUAACUCCGGAUCUGCGGUGGGUACGGGCAGGCUAGAGUGCAGUAGGGGAGACUGGAAUUCCUGGUGUAGCGGUGAAAUGCGCAGAUAUCAGGAGGAACACCGAUGGCGAAGGCAGGUCUCUGGGCUGUAACUGACGCUGAGGAGCGAAAGCAUGGGGAGCGAACAGGAUUAGAAACCCCCGUAGUCC